ACUGAUCCACCGGGGGGGGGCGGGGGAGGAGACGCGGCCUCGGGCCCCACGCCCAGCCGCGGGAGGGGGCAGCGAGCAGCAGCCGUUGGGGGGCCAGGGGCAAAGAGCCCCCGGAGAGGCAGCGUCGCCCAGGCGGGCUCUGGGGUGGGGGGGCAGGACGGGUAGCCGCGACCCUCUCCUCGAGGAUGGGGCAGGCUCUUUCCCAGCGCCUGUGCUGCCUGCCUCCCCUCGCUGCGGGGCGGCCCUGGGGAGAAGGCGAGCCUGGCUGGAGGCGCGGGGCUGUGCUGCGGCUUCCCACCUGGGCUCCACAGGAAAGCAACAACCCUUUGCCUUUUCCCCUCGAUGCACCAACAGUGCAGCCUGAACCAGUCUAGGAUGCACCAUUGGCAUACCAUGUGAAUGUGAAAAGUCCAUCACAAAAGCCUCGAAUUACAGGAACCUGAAAUUUGACUCACCCUGAAUUUCUGCAUAAAAUCAAGCUGGACAAUGAGAACGCACACAGUAAGACCUCAGUAAGCUUAGCAAAACCAGCCUCUUCUGGACCCAAUGUUGCACUGAAAAAACUGGUAUCAUAAAGUGUGGCUGUAUAAAUAAAAUGAUGGAGGUGUUGGGGCUCCUUAAGGUUAGCUAUAUUUUCAUGUACCCAGUUAGGCAGUUUUUGUUUACCAUGUUUUCUUAGUAUGUCAUGUAUGGAUAGUAAUCUGGUUUAAUGCUCCUUUUUUUUAUUAUUCUAUUUUUGAGCAGGGGUAGGGUUUGUACAAUUACAAAUUGUAACUGCUGUAGAUUUGUUUUGCUUUAGAGGUGCUCAGAUACUACAAUGAUGAGCACAAUACAAGAACCUAAUAGAAUACAAUAGAAUUUUGGAAUCUUAUAUUAUUGUUCUAGAGGUAAAAUCUAAUCCCCUGUGUCGAAGACCUACUGCCUGGUGACUGUACCUAUAUGACUUCAAUUACUGUGUUAUCAGCCUAUAUUAAAUAAAAAUGUUCACCUUCCUAAAUGCAUUAUUAUUCCAAGUGGUUUGAGCACUCAAUUAUGAUCCUGCUCUGACACUAAUAGCCUCUGUGGUUUGAGGCUUUUCUUUCCCUUUUUUCCAUUUCUUUAUUAACUUUUCUAUUUCUUUCCUUUCAUCUCCUUCUUCCAUUGUCUUCUUCUCCCUCCACUUCCUUUCUUCCAUGUUACAACUAUUCUCUCUGUAUAUCUACAUUUUAUUUAUUCUAUCUUUGCACCCUGCAUUUCUUUUUUGAAAAAAAAAAUCCUCAGUUUUAUACAGAUUGACAAAGCAUCUUUUUUUCUUCGAAUCUUUCCUUUCUCUUUUCAUUACCCUCCACCCUUCUCUUCUCUCCCUCACUCCUAUACUUUGUUAUACAUUCCCUACUCCAUAGCUAAUUACUGAACCUUGUUUCUCCAUCCUUGCUCUCCUCUUCAGGCAUCUUCAUUUCUUUCAACCUAUUACUCAAUUCCCCCACUGUUCUACUUCUUGGGCUCAUCCAUCUCUUUACUCUUUUAUACCCCUUUAUAUGUUAUCUGUCCCCUUUUCCCCUCAUCCAUCCUAAAGAAAGUUCUUCCUCUCCCUUUCAACUCUUCUCUUUCCCACCCUCUCUUGAGCCACCAGCCUUUCCUGGGCCAUCUCUACAAUUUCUCCCAGCCACCUCCCAAUCACUACGUAGCAGCACUGAGGAAAUUAAGGCCUCCUCUCUCUCACCCCCAUACUGCAGCACUGGAAAGAGACUGGCUCUAUGAUAUAUAGCCUUCCUCUCUCUUCCAGCUGUCACAACUGUCCCUCUAUUGCAGUUGUCCUGCCAAGUUGUCUAUAACUGUUACCAGUUGCCACAGAUUUCUCUCCAAUUGCCACAGGUUUCCCUUCAGUUUCGGCUAUCACCAGCUUCCAUGGUCACCAGUUGCCAUAUGUUUUCCUCCAACUGUCUUUAGGUACCACAAGUGUCUCUCCAGCAGACAGUCAACAGCUGCCACUUGUGUUCCUCCAGCUGGCACUGUUACAGAUUUCUUUCUAAUUGACAUUCUGUCAGCAAUUCCCAUGUCCCAACAACUCACAGUGCCACAGACUUCCUCCUAAAUGCCAUUGUCAUCAACUACCAUGUGUCCCUCCAACUGCCACUCGUUGCUUCCAACUGCCACUAACACCAGUGGCCAUAGGUGUCCUACAUACUUCCACUGUCACCAACUGCCACAGGUUACCCUCCAACUGCCAUUAACCGUCAUCAGCUACCACAAGUGUUCCUUCAACUGACACUGUCACCAACUAUUGUUAGUGACCCACACGGUCACCAACUACCACUUCCUGUCACCAAAUGCCACAAGUCCUUUCAACUUUGCCACCAAUUGCCACACUGUCACCAAUUGCCACAGGUUACCCUCCAACUGCCAUUAACUAUCAUCAGCUACCACAAGUGUUCCUUCAACUGACACUGUCACCAAUUACUGUAAGUGACCCACACAGUCACCAACUACCACUUCCUGUCACCAAAUGCCACAAGUCCUUUCAGCUUUGCCACCAAUUGCCACACCGUCACCAACUGCCACUUAUAUCCAACUUCCACUGUCUCCAACUGCUUCUGUCAUCAACUGUCACUGGUUGCCCUCCUACUGUCCCAAAUGCCAUACUGUCAAACUCACAUCUGCCACAACUGUCCCUCCACUGUCAUCUAAUGCCAUUAUCAUGGGUUCCCCUGCAACUCCUGUUAACUGACACAAACUUCCACACAGAUAUAUUCAGUUAACACACACACUGAGAGGAAGCUUCAUCCAAUCUUCUGACACUUAAGGGGCCAAUGGCUACACUAUAGAUCCCCCUGAGCGACAUAACUUAUGCCAACUUAAGAGCUGGGGAAGAGCUCUCUCCUGUCGGCUUAGAGUGGCUAUACUAGAGAGCUUACAGCGGCCGUAAGCUCUCUAGGGUAGCCAUAGCCUUAACUAAGCUUACAGGGGCAUUACAAGUGCAAGCUGUCAUAUUUCUUUUCACUGAUCUAUGAUCUCUGUCCUUUGUCAUCCAGAAGCUGCUGAGGUAAUUCAAUAGCACAAAUUUAUGGCCACACUGAGUUUAUUAUUGUGUGUCUCCUUUCCAGUGUGAAGCUUAUGCCACUUUGUUCCAUUCCUUUUUACCUUAAUUAUUACCCCCACAUGACAAUGCCUGCUCUGACAGGGAGUGAUGGUCUUUUCCUCUCUAUUGCUUUAAAACAGAGAGUUUAAAACUACUGUGAUCACUUUUU